rnacentral:rRNA from 1 species
AGUGAACGCUGGCGGCGUGCUUAACACAUGCAAGUCGAACGAGAACGGAAUAUAGCUUGCUAUAUUUGUCAGCUAAGUGGCGCACGGGCGAGUAAUGUAUAGAUAACCUGCCCUUAAGAAAGGAAUAACAGUUGGAAACGACUGCUAAUGCCCUAUAUGCCUUUAAUACAUAAGUAUGCAAGGGAAACGCUUUAGUGCUUAAGGAUGGGUCUGUAUGGUAUCAGCUUGUUGGUGAGGUAAUGGCUCACCAAGGCUAUGACGCCUAACUGGUUUGAGAGGAUGAUCAGUCACACUGAAUCUGAGACACGGCCCAGACUCCUACGGGAGUCAGCAGUGGGGAAUUGUGCACAAUGAACGAGAGUCUGAUGCAGCAUCGCCGCGUGGGGGAUGACACAUUUCGGUGCGUAAACUCCUUUUAUAGAGCGAGAUAAUUGCGGUACUAUAUGAAUAAGCGCCGGCUAACUCCGUGCAAGCCGCCGUCGUAA